rnacentral:rRNA from 1 species
GUGAGGAAUAUUGGUCAAUGGGCGCAAGCCUGAACCAGCCAUCCCGCGUGAAGGAAGAAGGCCCUACGGGUUGUAAACUUCUUUUCUGUUUGAAGAAUAAGCUCGUCGAGACGAGUGAUGCCGGUAGGACAGGAAUAAGCAUCGGCUAACUCCGUGCCAGCAGCCGCGGUAAUACGGAGGAUGCAAGCGUUAUCCGGAUUUAUUGGGUUUAAAGGGUGCGCAGGUGGUUUAAUAAGUCAGUGGUGAAAGUCUGGCGCUUAACGUUAGGAUUGCCAUUGAUACUGUUAGACUUGAAUAUGGAUGAGGUAGGCGGAAUGUGUAGUGUAGCGGUGAAAUGCUUAGAUAUUACACAGAACACCGAUUGCGAAGGCAGCUUACUAAUCCAUCAUUGACGCUGAGGCACGAAAGCGUGGGGAUCAAACAGGAUUAGAUACCCGUGUAGUCC